CCCAUCCCGAACCCACCGGCUUUCUCUUCCCCGAGAGCCUGGACAUCAGAUCUACCAUGUGUUCUUGAGUUCCUUGCUCACCCCUCCUCGAAUCUCCUGUAGGCUUCAGAUCGUCGCGGCUGCCUUCUCCGUCCAUCUGCCGGAGAGCCGCACUGUCGCGUCCAUACUCGUACAUAAGUUCGUCCAUCUCCCACCAUUAUCAGAUAAGGAAAUUUACUACCCAGGAGGAUUGUAUGGAGACAGACUUGUGCCCCAGCCUGGAUAUUUCGUUGGUUUGCUGAACAGUGUACAUAAUACUUGGAUUCCAGAGAUUCCAGUGUAUAAGCAUGUUAAUUGGUGCGGCCAUAUUCGGCGUACACUGAUGUAUGAAGCAGAGAGAGUGCAGGACCUCAUCAAAAGAGGGGUUAAAGUCAUCCAACCUGGUGGCUGAAGCUUAUACGCCAAGGUACAUUAUCUUGAUAAUCUCCACCUAGAGGGAUUGCCGUUAAGUGAUCGAAUGUUCCCAAGAGCAUUCCUGUUCACUGAAGAUGUUAUGGCUCUUCAUUGGGUAAAGUCACCAAUUGAUGGAUCAAGAGAGUUUCGGCAAUCUAUGAUGAAAAGGGAGUAGAUCUGUGUUAUUCUAGACGCACCUUGCCUUCUGGAUACAGACCACGGAUAGCACAACCGAAUCAUCCUCCGCAAAAAGAAAAGGAUAUCAAACAAUUCAGUGUGAAGAGCAAGGACGCAGAAAAAUUACCACGGGCAUGCGUAUAUUGGAGGCAUCAAAUCGGAGGAACAAUUUGAGAACCCUAAAUAAAGAUCCAGAAAAAAUAAAACCAAGGCUUAGCCCUCUAUGUAGUAGUACAGACCAAGGGGCCAGUGUUCGUUCCGAAUCCGGGAGGCUAAUCGCUGCUCCUCCAAUUUCAAAUGAUGCAUCUCCAACAGCCAUAUCUCCAUUUGAAAUACCUUUCGUCCACCGUGAUGCAUCUGUUUUCCAGUGGCACAACUUUUACGAAUUGUUGAAAAAUGGGAAGGUUGUCCGGCUAGAAUG